UUCGAAGUCGGCACUAGCAGUC
rnacentral:misc_RNA from 1 species